GACGAACGCUGGCGGCGUGCCUAAUACAUGCAAGUCGAACGCAGUGGGGACGGGUGAGUAACACGUGGGUAACCUCCCAUCAGAGGGGAUAACACUUGGAAACAGGUGCUAAACCGAUACUGAUGGAUGAACCCGCGGUGCAUUAGCUAGUUGGUGAGGUAACGGCUCACCAAGGCCACGAUGCAUAGCCGCCCUGGGAGGGUGACCGGCCCCACUGUGACUGAACACGGGCCCAGACUCCGACGGGAGGCAGCAGUAGGGAAUCUUCGGCAAUGGACGAAAGUCGUACCGAGCAACGCCGCGUGAUUGAAGAAGGUUUCCGGAUCGUAAAACUCUGUUGUUAGAGAAGCGGUAUCUAACCAGAAAGCCACGGCUAACUACGUGCCAGCAGCCGCGGUAAUAC
rnacentral:rRNA from 1 species